rnacentral:rRNA from 1 species
GCAUACGUACUGCAAUUUUGAAAGUAGCAGUAGAAAGAGCGCCUCUCCUUGGAAGCACUCAUCAAAAGAUGAGCCUGCGUAGAAUUAGCUAGAUGGUGGGGUAAGGGCUUACCAUGACUACGAUGCUUAACUGGUCUGAGCCAGGAUCAAACUAUACUGGAACUGAGACACGGUCCAGACUACUACGGGAGGCAGCAGUGGGGAAUAUUGCGCAAUGGGGGAAACCCUGACGCAGCAAUGCCCAGUGAGUGAGGAAGGCCUUCGGGUUGUAAAGCUCUGUCAGAAGAGAAUAAUGGCAUAGGGUCCAAUAGGCUUUAUAUUUGAAGGUACCUUCAAAGGAAGCACCGUCUAACUUCGUGCCAGCUAGCCGAGGUAAUACGAAGGGCGCAAGCGUUGUUCGGAUUUAUUGCCGGUAAAGCGCGCCCAGGCGGAAUUGUUAAGACAGAUGAGAAAUCGCGGGUCUCACCCAGGAAACUGCGUCUGAUACUGAUAAUCUAGAAUCUCGGAGAGGGAAGGGGAAUUUCGCAUGUAGGGGUAAAAUCCGUAGAGAUGCGAAGGAACACCAGAGGCGAAGGCGCCUUCCUGGACGAGUAUUGACGCUGAGGCGCGAAAGCGUGGGUAGCAAACAGGAUUAGAUACCCUGGUAGUCCACGCCGUAAACGAUGUGCACUAGAUAUUGGAGGUUUGACCCCUUCAGUGUCGUAGCUAACGCAUUAAGUGCACCGCCUGGGGAGUACGGUCGCAAGACUAAAACUCAAAGGAAUUGACGGGGGCCCGCACAAGCGGUGGAUUAUGUGGUUUAAUUCGAAGCAACGCGCAGAACCUUACCUAGGCUUGAAAUCCUGAGAAUCUGAUGGAAACAUCGGAGUGCUCUUCGGAGAAUUCAGUGACAGGCGCUGCAUGGCUGUCGUCAGCUCGUGUCGUGAGAUGUUGGGUUAAGUCUCGCAACGAGCGCAACCCCUAUCCUUAGUUGCCAGCAUUAAGUUGGGCACUCUAGGGAGACUGCCCGGGCUAACCGGGAGGAAGGUGGGGAUGACGUCAAGUCCUCAUGGCCCUUAUGUCUAGGGCUACACACGUAAUACAAUGGUGCAUACAAAGGGAAGCGACCUGGCAACAGUGAGCAAAUCUCAAAAAGUGCAUCUCAGUCCGGAUUGGAGUCUGCAACUCGACUCCAUGAAGUUGGAAUCGCUAGUAAUCGGAGAUCAGCACGCUCCAGAGAAUACGUUCCCGGGCCUUGUACACACCGC